GAUGAGCACCGAGGGGCUU
rnacentral:misc_RNA from 1 species